rnacentral:rRNA from 1 species
AUUGAACGCUGGCGGAAUGCUUUACACAUGCAAGUCGAGCGGCAGCGCGGGGCAACCUGGCGGCGAGCGGCGAACGGGUGAGUAAUGCAUCGGAACGUGUCCAUGUCGUGGGGGAUAGCCCGGCGAAAGCCGGAUUAAUACCGCAUACGCCCGAGAGGGGAAAGUGGGGGACCGCAAGGCCUCACGCGAUUGGGUCGGCCGAUGUCCGAUUAGCUAGUUGGCGGGGUAAAGGCCCACCAAGGCGAUGAUCGGUAGCUGGUCUGAGAGGAUGAUCAGCCACACUGGGACUGAGACACGGCCCAGACUCCUACGGGAGGCAGCAGUGGGGAAUUUUGGACAAUGGGGGCAACCCUGAUCCAGCCAUUCCGCGUGAGUGAAGAAGGCCUUCGGGUUGUAAAGCUCUUUUGUCCGGAACGAAACGGGUAGCGUGAAUAUCGCUGCCUACUGACGGUACCGGAAGAAUAAGCACCGGCUAACCACGUGCCAGCCGCCGCCGUAAUAC